UACAGAGGGUGCUAGCGUUGUUCGGAAUUAUUGGGCGUAAAGAGCGUGUAGGCGGUCAGGUAGGUCCGUUGUGAAAACUCGAGGCUCAACCUCGAGACGCCGAUGGAAACCAUCUGACUAGAGUCCGGAAGAGGAGAGUGGAAUUCCUGGUGUAGCGGUGAAAUGCGCAGAUAUCAGGAAGAACACCCGUGGCUAAGGCGGCUCUCUAGUACGGUACUGACGCUGAGACGCGAAAGCGU
rnacentral:rRNA from 1 species